GACGAACGCUGGCGGCGUGCCUAAUACAUGCAAGUAGAACGCACAGGAUGCACCGUAGUUUACUACACCGUAUUCUGUGAGUUGCGAACGGGUGAGUAACGCGUAGGUAACCUGCCUGGUAGCGGGGGAUAACUAUUGGAAACGAUAGCUAAUACCGCAUAAGAACAUUUACUGCAUGGUAGAUGUUUAAAAGGUGCAAAUGCAUCACUACCAGAUGGACCUGCGUUGUAUUAGCUAGUAGGUGAGGUAACGGCUCACCUAGGCGACGAUACAUAGCCGACCUGAGAGGGUGAUCGGCCACACUGGGACUGAGACACGGCCCAGACUCCUACGGGAGGCAGCAGUAGGGAAUCUUCGGCAAUGGGGGGAACCCUGACCGAGCAACGCCGCGUGAGUGAAGAAAGGUUUUCGGGAUCGUAAAAGCUCUGUUGUUAAAGGAAAGAAACGAAGUGGG
rnacentral:rRNA from 1 species